UUAAUUUUGAUUAGUGGAGAAAUUAAGAAUUGCAAAUUCUUUCAUAGGUUAAAAUCCUCUUCAUUU
rnacentral:tRNA from 1 species